AACGAACGCUGGCGGCAUGCCUAACACAUGCAAGUCGAACGAGACCUUCGGGUCUAGUGGCGCACGGGUGCGUAACGCGUGGGAACCUGCCUUUAGGUUCGGAAUAACUCAGAGAAAUUUGAGCUAAUACCGGAUAAUGUCUUCGGACCAAAGAUUUAUCGCCUUUAGAUGGGCCCGCGUUGGAUUAGCUAGUUGGUGGGGUAAAGGCCUACCAAGGCGACGAUCCAUAGCUGGUCUGAGAGGAUGAUCAGCCACACUGGGACUGAGACACGGCCCAGACUCCUACGGGAGGCAGCAGUGGGGAAUAUUGGACAAUGGGCGAAAGCCUAAUCCAGCAAUGCCGCGUGAGUGAUGAAGGCCUUAGGGUUGUAAAGCUCUUUUGCCAGGGAAGAUGAUGACUGUACCUGGAGAAUAAGCCCCGGCUAACUUCGUG
rnacentral:rRNA from 1 species